rnacentral:rRNA from 1 species
UGCAAGUCGAACGGGAUCCACUGGGCUUUUGUUUGGUGGUGAGAGUGGCGAACGGGUGAGUAAUGCGUGACUAACCUGCCGUAUGGUUGGGGAUAGCUCCUGGAAACGGGUGGUAAUACCCAAUGCUCCAGCUGGAUGCAUGUCUGGUUGGGAAAGCUUUUGUGCCAUAUGAUGGGGUCGCGUCCUAUCAGCUUGUUGGUGGGGUGAUGGCCUACCAAGGCGUCGACGGGUAGCCGGCCUAAGAGGGCGACCGGCCACAUUGGGACUGAGAUACGGCCCAGACUCCUACGGGAGGCAGCAGUGGGGAAUAUUGCACAAUGGGCGCAAGCCUGAUGCAGCGACGCCGCGUGCGGGAUGGAGGCCUUCGGGUUGUAAACCGCUUUUAUAGGGGGGCAAGCUAUGCCUGUGUGGUGUGGUGAGUGGACUUUAUGAAUAAGCACCGGCUAACUACGUGCCAGCAGCCGCGGUAAUACGUAGGGUGCAAGCGUUGUCCGGAUUUAUUGGGCGUAAAGGGCUCGUAGGCGGUUUGUUGCGUCUGGUGUGAAAGCUUACUGCUUAACGGUAGGUUGCGCUGGAUACGGGCAGGCUUGAGUGCAGUAGGGGAGACUGGAAUUCUCGGUGUAACGGUGGAAUGUGUAGAUAUCGGGAAGAACACCUAUGGCGAAGGCAGGUCUCUGGGCUGUUACUGACGCUGAGGAGCGAAAGCGUGGGGAGCGAACAGGAUUAGAUACCCUGGUAGUCCAUGCUGUAAACGGUGGACGCUGGAUGUGGGGCCCAUUUC